rnacentral:rRNA from 1 species
AUGUACAUUCUUACAACAUAUCUUUAAUGCAUCAUAUCCCAUUAGAACUCCACAUUUAAUCGUGCUCAGGCUAGAGUAGUACUGGGAUGGGUCACUGCCUGGGAAUUCCUAGUAUUUUACAUU